UAGGUAUUCCCUCCGUCCGAAAAUAUUUGUCAUCAAAAUGAAUAAAAAAGGAUAUAUCUAGAACUAAAAUACGUUAGAUACAUCUCAUCUUAUCCAUUUUGAUGACAAAUAUUUCUGGACGGAGGGAGUAGUUG
rfam:Triticum aestivum genome assembly, contig: Triticum_aestivum_CS42_TGACv1_scaffold_513133_6BS